GUCCUUGUAGUAUAUCUAAUUACCCCGGCCUUGUAGACCGGAAAAGGAGGCGCACUAACUCCCCAGGACA
rnacentral:tRNA from 1 species